rnacentral:lncRNA from 1 species
GGCGGGGAAGCGUUUCCUGUGGGACAAGACAGGCGUGAGCUCCUGCAAAGGGGCCCAGAAUGGCGGGGAAGCGUUUCCCGUGGGACAAGACAGGCGUGAGCUCCUGCAAUGGGGCCCAGAAUGGCGGGGGAGCGUUUCCCGUGGGACAAGACAGGCGUGAGCUCCUGCAAAGGGGCCCAGAAUCGUGGGGAAGCGUUUCCUGUGGGACAAGACAGGCGUGAGCUCCUGCAAAGGGGCCCAGAAUGGUGGGGAAGCAGAACUUCUGCCUCCAACUCACUUUCUCACCGUGCAACUGCGGAUCCAGAGGAAUCUCUGCAUGUGAGGCUCUGCCAGGUUGGGGAGGAGUGUGCGCUCAACAUCUCUCUCCACUUUUUACCAUUGCAACAGCUUUUCUUAGCUCUGGGGUCCAGGAGUGUGUCUCAGCCUUAGUCCUGAAUUCUGGGACAUGCACGAUGGUAUUCUUGCCUGUGGAGAGCUGCUAGUUGAAUUUCUGUGGUGGUGAGUGAUGUCAGUGAAGUCCCAUUCUGGUUUCUCUCUGAUGUCACACUGAGAGCACAGUUUUGGUGAGAAGAUUAUCUUUGUGUAAAAGCAAAGAAGAGAGGAAAGAACCUGCGUUUCUCCUCUGCACUAUCCGCUGCGUUUUUCUGUAGAAUUGGGUGUGCCAUUUGCAAGAGCUGUGUGUGUGCAGCAGAGCAGGCAGCCAACCAAUCCUUGCGGUUCAGUGUGAGUUGGGAGGGAGAAAGCGCAAACCACUAAGUGUAGACAACACGCAGGGAGUUCAUUUGGGAAGUUUAGCGAGUGGUGUCCAAAGCAGAGUUGCUCCCUCAGCACUAUGGGCAGUUUGGGCCACACAAUUCUUUGUUGUUGGGGAGAGAAGGCUGUCCUGUGCCUUGUAGGAGGUUUGGCAGCAUCCCUGGCCUGGACACCCCAUGACAGUGGCAACCCCUCCCCUAGCGGUGACAAACAUAAAGGUCUCUAGAUGUUGCUAAAUGUCCUCUGGUGGGGGUGGGAAGGGCAUUGCCCUGUGUGAGGACCGCUGGUAGAGACUGUUGCAGGGUUCAGAAAAGAGAUUUUUGUUUUUCAGUUGGGACAUACAUGAUCAGUCUUGGGGAAGGAAGCAGAAGCAAUGGUGGAAUAGGACAAAGAUAAAGGAAAGAGGUGGAAAGUGAUGAACACAGACCGCGAUGACCCGGUGUGGGGUGAUAUGGGCGAGGACAGCAUCCAGCGAAGAGGUCCUGGCUCCUGACUGCAAUUUGGUGGCUCUACUGUACCCUGUGCAACGGGUAUAGAGUCCAAGCCUGGAGGGAGAGCGACUGACAGCCAUGGUCUGGUCACACGCCUGCCUGAGAGCUGCACGGGAGCCGGCGAGGAAAAGCCCUUGCUGCUUCCAGUGUAAGGUCUGCCUGGAUGAUCAAAACAGAUGGGAAGGAGCCAUGGUGGGGCAAUGAUCCUGUUCUGUUGCCUCCUGGAGAUUCAAGCAUUAUAUAUGGAGAGCUAUCAUCUCUACCCCUCCUCCCGGUUUACUCUCAUGGUGAGCUCAGGUUAUUGGGGAACAAGUGGUACUCAAGAUGGAUGAAGGACUUAAAUCCAAGACAAGAAACUAUAAAAAUUCUAAAAGACAACAUUGGAAAAACUCUUCUAGACAUUGGCUUAGGCAAGGAUUUCACGAACAAGAACCCAUAAGCAAACGCAAUAAGAACAAAAAUAAAUAGCUGGGACCUAAUCAAACUAAAGAGCUUUUGCACAGCAAAAGGAACAGUCAGCAGAGUAAACAGACAACACACAGAGUGGGAGAAAAUCUUCACAAUCUAUACAUCUGACAAAGGACUGAUAUCCAGAAUCUACAAUGGACUCAAACAAAUUAGCAAGAAACAAAUAAUCCCAUCAAAAAGUGGGCUAAGGACAUGAAUAGACUUUUAGGUUACUUUUAGGUAUUUGUGUGUGCAGACCUCUUGGUGUCAAGGCUAAACUGUUCCUUUCUCUGACACAUGGGAAAUUGAUGCACAAUACCUUGCAGUGUAUAAUUCCAGGCCCCUAGGCACUGGAGACUGGGUUAUCUUUUCACUCAACUGACAGUUGAUACAUUGUUUGCACUGAAAAAUCUGGCUUUGUUGAACCACACCAGUUUAUGUUUUUAAUUCCAAAUCUUACCUUGUUAUGAACUAUUUUUUUGUCCUUUCCUCUAGAGAAAUGCUAAUGCUGCUUGCUUACAUGGAAAGUAAAGUUAAGGAGUUGGUGUUGACAUUUUGGCUUGCUGUCACAGGCAAAAAAGAAUAGUGCUGUUUUUGUGUGUUUAAUUUUCUUUCACUUUCCCCACUCUGUGUAUUGGAGGAUGCCUUUAGCAAUAAGUAGUCCUUAUCCAGGUCACUCACUCAUUAACCGCCAACCACUGACAGUAAUGUCUUUACUAGAUAUUUUGCUUCUUUUGAUUAAUUUGUCUCUAUUUCCUUUGUUCUAAAGCCUAUAGUGAGUAAUCAUAUUUGGAGUAAUAGCAGAGCUCCCUGCUGUGUUUUCAUUUGCUUAAAUCAAGACUUAGCUGCUGUAUUGAGGAACCAAGACUGAGAUGUGGGGCUAGGAGGGCCUAGGGUCUGUCAGGCACUCUUCAGUGACUUGAGGUGCUGAAUGACUCACACUGUACUGGGAGAUGACCACCUGUGUGCAUCCAACACAGUCACAGAUAGUGCCAUUGAGCCACCAGGAGCAGCCACAGACCAUCAGUGGUUGUGCUUUGGAAUACGCAAUUUUGUGUUUCUGGUGAGCUGUAAUCUUUUCUUUUCCCAUAGAAUUAUUUUUCAUUGAAUUAUGCUAUUAAAACUCAUCUUUGGGUUUCUUGUAACGUCAUUGCCGAGAACGUUAUUUUUGCAUUUCACAGUGAUUUCUUGAGGAGGAAGUAAGAAGUAAUUGUUUUCUGGACUCACUGUCUGAAAAACUUGCACUUUACUGAAGCGAUUGUUUUGUUUACACUAAGUAACAAUAUGAGUUUUGUUAGCUUUUUGGAUGGACUACAAAGCAUAAAACCAACUUUGUUCCUCAUCUCUGGCAAAGAUGGAGGGUUGUUGGCUUGUGUUGUGUGAUGAGUCUUAUACCUGGCUCUGUCUGCUCUUGCCUUUUGCCUUACAUUUCAAAGACCUCACUUUUUUCUUUUCUUUUUUUAAAAAAUAUUUUAUCACAUGAUUUUCUAUACAUUUUAAUAAAAUUUCUUUUUUGUAAAAAAAGCAAAGCAUAAAUAAAAUAGGGUAGCCAUUUCUUCUAAGGUUAUGUUGAAUCUAACCCAAACUCUUAUCAGAGAAAACUCUGCUUUAGAUGUAGCCUAAAGCAGGAAGCAACAAACCUGUAUACAGCCAAAGUAUCAUCUCAAGGGCCUGCAUUCAAAUCUCACACAUGUGGCUUGAAAGUGAUCUCUUUUGCCCUUAUUUCAAGGCCUAAUCUUAGGUUACAUAGUACUUAAAGAAGCUUCAGUAUGCAAUUUCAAAGCCUGUAGUAGAUGUAAAAUGAGAAAAUUAGAAAUAAGGAGAAAAGCUGCUACAUGAGGACACUGACAGCAAGGAAAGGGAGAGAAAAACUCACAAAGUAAGUGGAAAAAUAGACCAAUGCAAAUAACCCCACAUAGUUUAACAGACCUCAUCAUAUCUAUUGUGUACAUGUUUGUAUGACAUAGAUUAUAUCUAUUAUAUGUAAUCCAGUGUUCAUAGUGUUGACUUAGAAAUUAUCAACCAAAUUCAAAGCUUUUAGGCUUUGAAAAUUGUUUGAAAAGAUUUUCACCCAAAAUAUUUAAAUUAUUAAAAAAAAUUAUUGUUGAUUAAAGUUGUAAUCCUCAAUUAAUUAGAAGUUUUGGCUAUCCAGAGACCUUAUAUUCCAAAGACUUUAGAGAGUUGUUUGUUAGAUCACAUAAAUUAUUACCAAUAUCCUACAUUUAAGCUUCUAAUUUACGUAAAUUGUGAGCAAAAUUGAGAGCCACACAAAUAUUCAAUCUCUGAAGCUCUUAUGGCAGCAUUGAUCAAAUAGGUUAGAGAACACAUGGAUACAGCUUUAUUGCCUUCUAGUUUUACUGCAAACGUGUUAUUUAAUAGUAUGCAAAUGAUUGGCUAGAUGUACAGACUGCCAGGGCCUUCAUAGCAAACAGGUUUUGUGUUUACCCUAGCAUACAAAAAUGCUUCAUCUACGAUGUAUGCUGUAACUGUGUGUAUUGUCUACCCUAGCAUGCAAAAAUGCUUCAUCUAAAAUGUAUGCUAUAACUAUGUGUAUUAUAUUAUCUAUAAUUAUAUUUCUCCUUGGUUUAAUAUUAGAUAUUUUCAGGUACAAGAAAUGUAUGCACAUUAUAGAUUCAAUGCAUGUAGGUUAUAUGUGUAAAUAUUUAUUGAUAAGAGGCAUUAAACCCCUGCCUUCUAUGCUGGAUAAACUCCUGAACUUAGCCUCCAAAACACCACAGUAGCCUCCCUGGUAAGCACAGGGCUCUUUCUCUACCCUUUUGUGUCUCCCACGCUCCCACUUGUCUACAAGAGCUGAGUGUAGACCAAGAGCAAUAAAGUUCAUUUCCCCAAAAUAAGGCGUAGCAUUCAGGUUUUGUGAUACCUGAUUGGUUUACAUUGUUUACAGGUGGGGCCUCGAAGGGGUAAAAAUCAGAAGCUUCUUAUUCUGAGCGCAAGGGCAAGAUCAUUGAGCAGACAUUGACCUCCCUUCAGACAUUUCUUGGGAGGAACAGAAUGAGAAUUUCAGGGGCCAGUGCCUGCACCCUACUAGCUGUGGCAGCCUGGUGCUCAUCUACUUCUCCAGCUUGGGAAGGCCUAGGUUAACCCCAGUCUUUGGAGGCAUUGUUAUUCCUCUUCUCUCCCUGCUUCCCCGUGUUUGUGUUCUGGGCCCGGUGUAACACUGAGGUUCAGAAUUGCUUUCAAGAGAGGAGCCCAUUUCUGUGUCUAUGCAAGGCUGGACAAUUUCUCCAAGUGGUUCAGCCUGUGGGGGUUAACGGGGCAAAAGCAUCUCAGCUAGUAAUAAACACUGCUUCGCCUCUUGCUUUUUUAUUUUUAUUUUUGCAAAACUUCUCUGUAGGUGUGUAUUUCUCUAGAGGAUUUCAAAAAUUCUCUGUAGGUGCGUAUUUCUGUAGAGGAAGGAGUGGUGACUGGGCCAGGGUGAAUGGAUUAUUUGAUCUAUAUUAUCUUGAAUUUUAUAUCUUUUAUUUUAAAAUUUGGGUGUUUUUUGAAGUAGGAAAUCAAUGCACAUGGCUGAAUAUCUAAAAAGUGUAAAAGUAUACAUUGAAAAGUCUUCCUCCUAAUCUCGUGAUUGUCUUCGUUUCAGUCCCCAUGGCCACAUCAUGAGGCUACUGAUGUCAUUAGUUUCUUUUGCGUUCUUCUAGGGUUUCUGUUGGCAUAUGCAAGCAACAAUAAAUGUAUACCUUUAUGUUUUCUCUUUUUACAGCAAGGACAGUUUAUUAAACACACUGUUUUAAACCUUAUUUUUUCUCUAAAUAAUAUUUCAUAUAAGUCAGUAUGUAGACUUUAUGUAUUUUUAAAAUGAAGACAUAGCGUUCCACUGAACUUAGACAAUAAUUUACUUAACUAGUCCAAGAUUGAAGAAUAAAAUUAUUUUGAAUCUUUUGUUAAUAGUUAAUAGCUUUGAUGAGUACACUUAUGCAUACAUUAUUUUACACAUGUUCAAGUAUGUUGUAUAAACCCCAAAGUGGGAAUGCUCUGUCAAAUAUUACAGGUAUUUGCAACUUUGAUAGAUACUAAUUGCCCUCGAUAGAGGUAGUAAAAGCUUACACUCCACAGCCUUACUGAUGAUAUAUAUUAUAAAACUUUUAGUUCUUGCCAAUCUAAACGUGAAAAAUGGUAUUUCAUGGUAAUUUAAAUGCUUUUCUCGUUUUAUAACUGAGGUUGACAUCUAUCAAAAAAUUAUUUGAAUUUUUCUGAGAACUAUUAAUCUUUGAAUCCUUUUCUGUUGUUUAUCUUUUCCUUCUUCAUUUCUAAAAGUUCCUAUACAGAGAGAUUCACCCGUUAUCUGUGAUAUGAUUACAAAUGUCUGCCCUCCAAUUUGUUAUAUGUCUUUAGAUCCAAAUACCUUAUUUUUUGCCAUGUAGAAAUUUUUAAUUUGUAUGUGAUAAAAUGUUAAUACUUUAUGGAUUCUGGAUUUUCAGAAAUAAAAAGGUCAUCCUCACUUCCAGGUUUUAAAGAAAUUCUUUAAUGUUAUUUUAUGUUUUUGUAUGG